UUAACAACGAUUGCUCACAGGAAAGGCAAGAAACUGAUACGUAAGCCUUGCAGGGUUUCGAUUGGCAUUCCGAGUAAUGAGUGUCAAUCUGGACGUCGCGACGGUUGUCAUGGGCUCAAGGGAGGUUUCGGGUCGUGACACAAAUUGUUCAGAUGGCCACUGAUAGUUCAUCACCUCAAUCAAAAGUAUCUAAAAAUAAAAAGAAAAGUUUGAAGUAAGAUUAGGAAUGCUUGGUUUUAAUAUUAACAAGAAAGAAUUAAAAAUGAAUUCCGUGGCAACGGCACCAAAAACUUGUUGUUCAAUUUUCUACGCGUGUAAGUGCACGUAUCGCAAAGAUAAUAUAGAGAUGAGUAGAGUGUCGAUCUUACAGAAAAUUGAAUUAAUCUUUACUGUUAACUACUAAUAUUAAUACACUCUAAUUUUAUCCACAUAAUUAAAAUUAAAAUUUAAAACCAAUAAACUAAAAACUAAAACUAAUAUAUCAACAUAAUUAUGAACUUCUAGUGAUUACUAGAUCUAAGAUUAUGAUAUCCCUCAAAACUUCAUCUGAGUAUUGUCUCUCUCUCUCUUAAACUAGUUUAAUGCAUUAAGUUGCUAACCUAGAGUCAUAAAUUAUUUAUAAGUCUUUGUCGAGUUUCUUAUAGAAAUACCCCUCCCAAUUAAUUUACUAUAUGUCUAUGCAAAUUAUAUUGAAAAAAGAUUCAUUAAGUUUGUGCUCUAAUUUUGGCUAUGUAUAGCUUAUAGAUGUAUGUCUACCCUAUAUGCAAAUCAAAUCACCUAAUCAACUAAGUGUAUUCGAUCAUACGCUAUUCUAUUCUAGGUCUACCUAAAUCUCCUUCGUCAAAGUUUAACCUAGGUUUCCAAUUCAAUCUAAUUGGUGGCCAAUCAACUGGAAGCAUUAAGAACAGAAUAAAAUAAACAACUUAAAUAUAUCAAACAUAAGUAAAUGACAGAUAAAUAAUUCGGACUACGUAUUGAGUUCAAUCAUAAUCUUAAAUUAACAAUUUAGUUCCCUAUUAAGUCAUACAUCAUUAUUCAAUAAAAUUUAAACAUUAAAACAAAGAGAAUAAGAGAAUAACAAAAAGAAAGAAAAAACCAAAGAUUGUAUUCUUGAUCUCCAAAUCUCUUUCAAUCCUUCAAAUUCCUUCAAUGACUUUGUGGCUUGACUCUUAGAUGUCAAUCUAGUGUUUCUUCGUUCUCCCUUUCUCCCCCAAAAGGUUGUUUUU
rnacentral:lncRNA from 1 species